ensembl:lncRNA
CCGCCACUAGAGGUCGGUGUUUCACCCAAAACCAAAACUAAACAUUAAAUAAUAAGAGCUGCGAUAUGAAAUAAAACUUAAAAGAUAGAACGCUUCACGAAUUUGCGUGUCAUCCUUGCGCUAUCUGCCCAGCGAUGCUCUCUGUUUCUCAGCCAAUCGGCAGCCACAAAUCUUCCCCUUAACUUUUCCCCAACUUUCGCCCGCCCAAUCAGCAACAGCGCAUCGACUUAAGGGACCUCAGCUAAAGGGGCGCCCCGCCCAAUCAGCAACACGCAUCAGCAUGAACUUAAGGAAAACCUUCCACGUGUGUCAGCCAUUAUCUCUGCAGUCGGUGAUAAGAUGUCUUUUGCAAAUUUGAGGAUUACCGCGUCGCAUCAGUUGGUCCUGCGGGCCUCUGAUGCGGCGGCGGCCUUCACCGCCGCCAUGGGGCCACGCGGGACCCAGGCUCCCGCCAGGGCCAAGAAGCCGGGGGAGGUGGAGAAGGAGGCCCGUGCCCGCGUCGUCUCCGAGGGUGGUGACCCUGGGAACCCCAUGCUGGUGCUGGGCUGCCACAGCAUCCAGCUGGGGAAGUACCAGGGUCAGACCUUCCGAUGGCUCCUGGAGAACGACGCGGGCUACGCCUGUCACCUGGUCGACAGUCACCAGCGGGAGCGGGAGACUAGUGCCUCGGACAGCCCGCUCAUGGCCAACAAGGACAGCCUCGCCCGCUACUCCUGCGCCCACCCCGCUUUUGCGGAGCACCUCAAGUUCCGCCGGGCGCAGGAGGAGGCCCGGGCUCGCGCCACUCUGCCCGGGCGGGGGGGCGAGGCGCUUGUUGGCUUCGGGCUGUUCAAGGAGGACACCCUGAAGGACCUGUACGAAUCCAAGGACAAGGACCGUCAGGAAUACGUCAAGUGGCUACGACGGAAGACACCGCAGCCUGGGAGCUCCAUGGACGCCGCCAUUCAGUACUUCUUGGGCCGAGACAAGGAGCGGUCGGCGGAGGCGGCUGCUACACCCCCUCCGCCCGCCAGCAGCAGCACCAGCAGCGGCCCCAGCACCACCACCAGCCAGGCCGCUGCUUCAACCGUGCUGCCGCCCCGCAAGCCGACCGCUCCCAAUUUCUCGGCCCUUGUGCGCGGGCGUCCGAUGGGCCCCAGGGAGCUGCAGGCCCAGAUCAGGAGACUGAUGAGCCCACCAGCACGGCCUGCAGCUCCAGCGGUGUCUUCCGUCAGAGACCAGCGCCCCUCGGUUCCGCCGCCCCCCACCACAGAGGUGACGGACGAGGAGCUGGUCCGGAUGGUCACUGAUGUAGAAAUGGGUAACUGGCACCACACCGGACGUGUCGCACUGUAACAUUGGCCUUGGAUAUCUAUUCUUGAGUCAGUAUGUUUGUAUUAACUGUAACUUUUUAAUUUGCUGGUCGCUAAAGCUGAUGCCUGAAGGAUAAAGGUAGGUUUAUCAGGUGAUGUAGCCGUCUUUGUAGGUGGUAGACGCGCCGUCCUCUCUCACGUGGUGGUAAUGUGGAUUUGAUUAAACUCCCAGUCUAGCAAACCUCGCCUUGUAACUAACAGUCGCCUUGUAGCACUAAACCAUUUUAUCUAAUCAACAGCAUGCUGCACGUCAUGAAUGCUCAGACUCACUUAGUCUCGCUUGCCCGUGUGUUGCCCCGUCACUCUCAUUGUGCUGAUGCCAUUUGGUUGUGCGUGACCGUGUCUGAAGCUGGCGUACAGGUCCUUCAGGCCCUCCCGCUCCCGCUGGUGACGCCUCCGACUCCACCUCCCCCGGCACCGUCCUCCACCCCACCACCACCACCACCACCACCACCACCACCACCACCACCACCACCACCACCACAAGUUGCGGCUGCUCCACCGACGGUCGGGCUUCCUGCUCGGGCUCCGGCGCAGACCAGGGUGGAGCCUCGUGGCGUCUCCGUGGAGGAGACGCCGUGCGGGGAGGCCACCCUGGCGCCGGAGCCGAAGAAGAAGAGGAGGAAGACGACGACGACGGGCGACGUGGAGCAGCCGGCAACGCCCGCUCCUGCUCGGGCUGAGACCCGGUUGCCUGAGGGCUGGCGGACAGCCCUCACCGGGGCAGAGCAGGAGUGGAUCGGCCGGGCGCUGUUCCAGCAGACCAGCGGGGGGUCCCUCAAGCUAACCACGGACCUCAAGCUGUGGUGGGACCCCCCCCAGCCCCGGCUGAACUAUACUCAGCCACCCGCCUCGGCGGCUGCCUUCUUCGCGUGUCGGUUGUUCCUCUGGGCGCCCCUGCACAUGUGGGGUCCCCGGCCGACAUGCUGCCAGAAACAUCUCACCAAGUGUGGGAUGUACAAGACCAUCCGGAAGGUCUUGGACAUCGACGGCUGGUACUUGAUGGCCACCGAGUACCUGGAGUGCCGUCGGUGUCGGAGGAAGGUAGCCGCCUGGUCGCAGGAGGUCGUGAGGCAGCUGGGAGAGGGGCAUCGCGCCCUCUUCCCGGCGAUCCUCACCUACAAGCUUGCCUGCGACCGGCGGGUCAUCAUCCAGCUGCGUGAGCGUACUCGGGGGGGAACAGCGCCACGCAGCUGCAAAAAAAACUCUGUGAGGCACACACAGAGGCCUGGAUGCGGCGGUCCAUACACUACCUCAGCGUCAUGGAGCCCUUCACGUCGACGGGUGUCGUGCGCCAGUGCACCCCACCGCCGAAACCAUCGCCAGACGUGCCGCAGUACGGCUGGCUGUUGGUGGUGUACUGCCACGACAUCCUGUCUCGCCUGGAGGACGUGAAGGCCCGGGGUCACCUCAGUCUUCGGAUCCAUCUUGAAGAUGGAUUCGACCAAGAAGGUGACCCGGAAGCUCGCCGGUGCCGCCGCCCAUACCGCAGCCUGGGCGACCAACGUGGGCAACGAGCACGGGCAGGUGCUAAUGUCCGUGCUCACGGCCACCGAGGGGGGUGGCCUGUUGCCCAUGGCCGCGGGGUUAAUGCGGCGGUACCGGGACGCUGGGGUAGCGCAGCCUCGCGUCCUCUACGUCGACCGGGACUGCUGUUCGUCCCACGGGGGGUCCAAGGCAGCUGCUGCGUUCCAGGAGUGGGACAAGCUGGUGGUCCGGUUGGACAUUUGGCACCUGAUGCGACGCUACGCGUCAGGUGUCACAACCGAGAGCCACCAGCUCUACAAGCCCUUCCUGCAGCAGCUGUCCGCCAGUAUCUUCCUGUGGGACCCAGAGGACACAGCCCGGUUGCUCAACGCCAAGAGGAGGACGCUAGAGGCGCAGGGGAUGACCUUCUCGUCCGAAGCCGGAGUGUGGAGGCACGUCAGCCGCAGGGAGAUGGCUCUCCAUUGCCGUCGCCGCACGCGUGGAGCUGCGGCGACCGAGCGGCUGAUUGAUGACCUCCUGCAAACCUUCGGCGGUGCCAACGGGCGAGACACCAUGGGGAUUCCCCUGCUGGACCGAGACCGCAUCCAGGCAAUCCGUGCGGAGCAGCGACGGCACCUCGAGUGCAUCCAGGACCCGCCGGGCGUGGAGCUGUACACGGAGACAGGCAGGCUGACCAAGGGGGGGAU